rnacentral:rRNA from 1 species
GCCAGCAGCCAUAUCAAUAUACAACUCACAACUGGCAACUCACUGGAGCUAAGCAGGUAUGAGCCUGGUCAGUACCUGGAUGGGAGACUCCUGGGAAAAACUAAGGUUGCUGCUGGAA